GCCGGUGUAGCUCAGUGGCAGAGCAGCUGUUUCGUAAACAGCAGGUCGUCGGUUCGACCCCGACCACCGGCUCCA
rnacentral:tRNA from 1 species